rnacentral:rRNA from 1 species
AAUGGUGGCUAUGGCCCCGGUGAGCACCUCUUCCCAUCCCGAACAGAGAAGUUAAGCCCGGGCGCGCCGAUGGUACUGGGGUCACACCCGGGAGAGUAGGUGGCCGCCAACCCCAUACAUCAGACGCCCCCC